GCCAUGCCCAAAUAGGUGUUUUGUUUUUCCUUUUUGACUUUGUUUUGAAACGCUGAGAAACCAAAAAUCUAGCAGUGUCUGUGUGUACGUGGCAAGGUCACGGUUUGCUGGGUCUUUUUCAGAUGUUCCGGAAGCUACACAACUCCUACACGGACGUGAUGUGCAACCCCUUCUACAACCCGGGGGACCACAUCCAGUCCAGGGCCUUUGAUAACAUGGUGACGUCGAUGAUGAUACAGGUGUGCUGAGUGAGCUGUGCUGCCAGCCAUCGCAGAGGAGCCCGCGUGCGACUGUGGUGGGGCCGUCGGUCUGUUCUCGUCACCUCUUCCUGAAUGGGACGCCUGGGGCUUUUAGGGCAGGCAGCUGUGCAUGUUCUGUCAACUAAAGGUCUUGUGAGAUGAGAUUUGGCUUUUUCCUUC
rnacentral:sRNA from 1 species